GUUUAAGUGAGAAAGUUGGAACAAAUCUUCCAAGAUGGCGUUGUUUUAGUGUUUUUCGUGAAGGAGUAGCGGAUAUUUUCACCCGAUAUCAAGACGCCAAUUAUAUAUGUCGAGGAUGCCAGGAUUAAAAAAGACGGCGUAACGAAUUGUGUACCGCUCUAUGAAGUGAAAGGUACAUGAAAACCCAUCAAUCAAACAAAAAAGAUAACGUCGAAUUACCACGCCAAACAAUCACAAUGUCAUGUACGUGCACUAUAAGAGUAAUGAAAAACAGAAAAGAGUAAAGCCGUUUCGAUACUAGUAUAAUAUUGCUGUAACCAAAUGCUGCCAUUGUUGCGAUUCGGAAUACAUGAAGCAAUUUGCAAUGCCUGACACCUGCUUUGAAGAUGCAUAUCAGUGGAUGUUUUUUUAUGAAAACUUAAAUAUUAAUUGUUUAUUUAAUACAAUGACAUCUGACACGUUUUACCAUAACGAUACUGAUACAUGUAUUUGACUUUGAUGUGACACAUUUUGGACGACCUUCUUUAAACCA